rnacentral:lncRNA from 7 species
CGCAUCUCCAUCUCCACAAGCCAAACCAGCCCCCAUCCCACAGUGGUGUUGGGGCAGGAUUUGUGCUUCAAGGUCUCAUAGCCUGGGUAGUGC